UUUCCUUUUUCAGAGCUCCACCUCCAAAAAAAACCAUCAAUCACGCAACCCCUCCCUGCCUCUCCCCAACUCCCCAAGCGACAUCCUCUCUCCCCUCCCUGCCGUCCCUCAAGACGCCCUCGUUGGCGCACUCUUCAUCGGAGCGCCGUCCGCUAGAAGCCGGAGUCGGGAAGGAGAGCAGCCACCAGCGGGGGAGACCACAAGGGGAGGCGCAGUUGUGCUGCUCUCUCUGGUCGCCGGCAACAUCUCGCGGGAGGGUGCGCGCAACGGGGAAGGUAGCGGCUGGAUCCGUGCGCGGGUGAGGCCGGGUUUCCAUGCGGGACCGUGGCGGUCAGAUCCGGGCCACACAUGGGGGUUGGGGGCAUGGCGUCGAGGUGGGUGCUUCCGUCGAGGUCUGAGCCGGAAACACCUCCGUUGAGGACUCCGGGUAUCGCCACCGAUGACGACCAUUGAGCACCGAGCUGGAAACGCCGCCAGCAAGGCCGAUUAUUGUGGCCGCGCCUGCCCACUGCCAAUCUUCCAUCUCCGUUGUUUCCAGCGGCCGGAGAACUCCUACAGGUGCAUGCAUGCCUCCUGCGAUAUGGUAUUUCAAAGACAUAUCCUGAUCAUCUUGGUUAUGCUCACGUAUGGAGGCAAUCUGAAUUAAAGUAAGAAUUCUAUGGUGUGUGGAGAAGCAAUUGUUCAUCUCUACGUUAACGUAUAGAAGAAUUUGUUCAGACUUCAGAAAAGUCUGGUUGAGGAGACAGCAACACCCAGCAGUCUGCACUACACACUUGACAUAUGUGCAAAGGUGAAAAUUGCCCUUUUCUUGGUGCUUCUAAUAAGUAUGUACUUUGUGAUGCUUUUGUUUUGAUACAGUUUGUCAUGAUAUAUCUCUACUCCUAAAGGGGGAGUCUGCGGUCGCCAUGGCCGAGUGGUACAUCGUUCGUUCGUCGUUCAUUCAGUGUCUUCAGUAAGCAACUAUUCGAAGCAUUUUUUUCAAAGCUAACACCAACUUAAAACUAAUAGACAGUUUAUGUGGAGAAGCAAUUGUUCAUCUCUACGUUAACGUAUAGGUAUGGAGUUGCUUACUGUUACUUCAAAUUAGCAAGACUGACUAAUACUUGCUACAUAGUGAUUAACAUACCACUAAAUAUAAUAUCUCAUGGUAUGGAGAAAUGCAGAAGAAUUUGUUCAGACUUCAGAAAAGUCUGGUUGAGGAGACAGCAACACCCAGCAGUCUGCACUACACACUUGACAUAUGUGCAAAGGUGAAAAUUGCCCUUUUCUUGGUGCUUCUAAUAAGUAUGUACUUUGUGAUGCUUUUGUUUUGAUACAGUUUGUCAUGAUAUAUCUCUACUCCUAAAGGAGGAGUCUGCGGUCGCCAUGGUCGAGUGGUAGAUCGUUCGUUCGUCGUUCAUUCGGUGUCUUCAGUAAGCAACUAUUCGAAGCAUUUUUUUCGAAGCUAACACCAACUUAAAACUAAUAGACAGUUUAUGUGGAGAAGCAAUUGUUCAUCUCUACGUUAACGUAUAGAAGAAUUUGUUCAGACUUCAGAAAAGUCUGGUUGAGGAGACAGCAACACCCAGCAGUCUGCACUACACAUUUGACAUAUGUGCAAAGGUGAAAAUUGCCCUUUUCUUGGUGCUUCUAAUAAGUUUGUACUUUGUGAUGCUUUUUUUUUGAUACAGUUUGUCAUGAUAUAUCUCUACUCCUAAAGGGGGAGCCUGCGGUCGCCAUGGUCGAGUGGUACAUCAUUCGUUUGUCGUUCAUUCAGUGUCUUCAGUAAACAACUAUUCGAAACAUUUUUUUCAAAGCUAAUACCAAUUAGGAGACGACGAGAUGGGUGUUGUUAAAGAUAUGGUUAGAUACCAGUUCUUCUAAACCAAUUUUUUUCACAUGGCACAUUAUUGCAAAUAUACUACUGCUAAAUUUGCUACUAUCAGGAGAGGGAUGGUAGCUGAAGUUGAUUUAUUUUAUACUCCUAAAAAAGAACUUCCUCUAAGUUAUGUAGGUUAACCUGUUGUCUUGUUAGCAUGGACACAGCAAAACUUCUGGUCUUGGAAGAAAAGUUCAGUUUGGUGUCUGGACUUGGAGAUACCCUUUUUUCAGUCUCCAAGGUGUUUCAGGUGACUUAGAUAAACACUCUCUAGGUUUGGCUAAUGUACUCUGUCACAUGUGGUUUCAACCAAAGCUCGAUAUACUAAUUUUUUUAUUGAAUAGAACUCGGCAUUUCUUUCAUAGAGGAACUCUACCAGUGACAACUAUGUAUAUCAGACGGUAAAUUUUCAGUAUGGAAGACACAAGUAGUUUGCACACACUAAUUUGUAACUACUUUAUUAGAGUUAAAGAUUACUGCCAAGAAAACGGAAUUUGAGAUUACCCUAGACAGCACUUGCAAGGCUAAUGUGUUCCACCCUGUACACAUGAUUACGUCGUCCAUAUUAAGAUUUUGUUUGCUACCUGUUUUUACUAACUCGGAUUCUAUAUGCUGCAGAUGUUGUGGUAGCACCGCCAUUCAUUUAUGUAGGCAAUGUCAAGACUUCACUAACUAAUCUCAUUGAGAGGUUUCUAACAAGAAUAUAUGGAUUGGGAAAGGAGGAGCUUUCCCUGCACCAAUCAGGUUGGAUACUGAAAGCUAAACUUGUCCAGCUUGUGUUCUCUUGUACACAAGAGGUUGCAAAUUAUUUCGACAAAAAAACACUCUUGAUGAUUGGCUUUAUUACAAUCUUGUAAACAAUGAGGGUACAAAAGGUUGAGCCUAUUUGUGUUCCUUUUUACUUUCAUUCGGAGUUAUUUUUACAAUGGAAAACUCAUGUGUGGAGUAAUUGGUGGACACUGGCUGCCAAUGGGUUAUUUUUG